GUCAGUCUUUUUAUGUCUAGCAGCCUUUGUGAGUGUGUAGUCUAUCUCAGAGUGCUUUAAUUUCCAUUUUCCUCAUGACUAAUGAUAGUGAAUAGCAUGUUAAGUGUAUUUUAUAGGCCUUCAGUCCCCAAUUCCUGGGCUGUGGGCCGGUACCUAUCUGUGACCUUUUAGCGACCAGGCGCAGAGCAGGAGAUGAGUAAAUGAAGCUUCAUCUGUAUUUACAGUUGCCCUCCCAUCACUGGCAUCCCAGCCUGAGCCCUGCCUCUGUUGGGUAAGUGGCAGCAUUAGGCUCUCAUAGGAUCCCAAAUCCUUCUAUAACCUGCAAAUAUGAGGGAUCUAGGUUGUGCAGAUGUAAUGUGCUCAAACCACCACUAGCUCAGGUGCGUGAAAAAAUACUCUUCCAUGAAACCAGUCCCUGGUGCCAAAAAGGUCGGGAGGCUAUUCUAUUAUCUUUCCCAAAGGGCCAGUGCCCAUUAUUAAUCAAGUUUUUUCAUAUUCUUCAUUUGUAGGAAUUCUAAUACAUUUUGAACACAAAUUUUUCAGCUAUAGGUAUGGUGAAUGUUUCCUCUUGGUCUUGACCUACUUUUUUAAAUCAUGUCAUUGAUUAGUGGAAAACUUUAGUUUUGAUCAGGUCCAGUUUGUUCAUUUUAAAUUUUUGUGGUUAUUGUUUUAUAGAAUCUUGUUCAUGAAGCUAUACUUCGAUAUUUUCUUCUAGAAACUUUUUGCUUUUAGCUUUGACAUUUAGCUGCAUGAUACAGUUGAUUUAAUUUUCGUGGAUAGGGGAGAGGUACAAGACUGUCACCUCCUCUUCUCCAGAGGGGUUGGGCCAGCUACCCAAGGUAAGACUCCUGCCUGGUGAGUCCAGAGCAUAGAAUACCAAGCCAGACUUGGUAUUCUGUGUAUUCAAAGCUUCAAAGGGAAUUUUCCCCUGUUAGGUUUCUGACUUGCUUGGGACUUGGGACUCUUUCCUUCUUGCCUAUUUCUCGCUUCCGGAAUGGAAAUGUCUGUUCUAUGCCUGUUUAACUGCUCCAUUUUGGAAGCACAAAACAUCGUUUUCAUAGGUUCACAGCUAGAGAGGAAUUUUGCCACAGGAUUAAUCAUACCUCAAGUAUCUUCCAUUCAUUACAGCAAUAUUUGUUACAACGACCUUCCUUUUCUCUUGAAUAGCUUUGUCUUACUGUGGGCGUAUUUUUGGACUCUCUCUUCUAUUCUAUGCCAGUAUCCUGUUACCUCAAGUGCUGUGGCUUCUUAGUAAGUCUUGAAGUAGUGCUUCAUCACGCAGAACAGGACUUUCAGCAGUGCAAGCAUGAAUAGAUGAGUGAGAAGGUAUCCUUGCCUCGUUCCUGAUCUUAUGGGGAAAACACUCAGCCUCACAUAAGUCCACUAUCAUUGCCAACCUUUAAAACAUCUGUUAUGCCUUUUGGAUGAUCAACAUUCUUUACUUCAUAAAGAAAGUUGCUGAUGGGAGUCAGACCACCAAGGCCCUUUAACUGCUUUCAGGGGAGGGGGCUGUCACCCCAGGCUGAUACGCAUGAGCUGCUCCCUUUGAGCUUCUAGGCAAUAAGCUGACAUCCCCCAGCGAUGGGUUUGCAGACAAGUCCAUGGUGUGGCACAAACUUAGUUUGUAAUAACUGUAAUAUGCACCUGCAACCACCAUGUGUCAUUGUUCCCCACACAAUAACUGCUACAAACUGAGGUGAAACAAUUCAAAUUUCCUGCAGGGGAAUAGACUGAGGAGUUGGGCUCUGUAUAUUUGUCAGCUAGGGCUGACAAGUCAAAGUGGCACAGACUGGGUAACUUAAAAAUAGAAAUUUAUUUUCUCAGAAUUCUGGAGGCCAGAAGUCUGGGAUAAAGGCAUUUAUAAGGCUGGUUUAUUUUGAGGCCUCUGUCCUUGGCUUGUAGAUGGCUGUCUUCUCAUGUUUUCAAACAGACUUGCCUUUGUGGACAUCUGUGUCCUAAUUUCUUUCUUUCUUUUUUUUUAGAGACAGUCUCACUUUAUCGCCCUUGGUAGAGUGCUGUGGCAUCACAGCUCACAGCAACCUCCAACUCCUGGGCUUAGGCGAUUCUCUUUCCUCAGCCUCCCAAGUAGUUGAGACUAUAGGCGCCAGCCACAACGCCUGGCUAUUUUUGUUGCAGUUUGGCCGGGGCCGUGUUCGAACCUGCCACCCUCGGUAUAUAGGGCUAGCGCCCUACCUGCUGAGCCACAGGCACCACCAGUGUCCUAAUUUCUUCUUCAAGUAAAGUCACCAGACAUAUUGGAUUAGGAGUCCACUUUAAUGAGUUCGUUUUAACUCAUUUAAUUCAUUAACGACUUUACCUCCAAAUACAGUCACAUUGUGAUAUAUUGGUGGUUAGCACUUCAAUUAGGUUUCCAGGGAGGGACGCAGUUCAGCCAAAAUACUCCACUCUCUGCCCCUCUCAGUCCUGUCCUUCUCACAGUGCAAAAUAGUAUAUUCACCCUCAUCUCAACAUCCCCCAAAGUUUAAACCCAUUCCAGCAUCACAUCUUUGGUCUAAAAUUGUAUCUAAGUAUCCUCUAAAUCAGGAAUGGAUAAGACUAAAGGUAUAUUUCAUUUAGAGAAAAAAAAUUUUUUUUUCAGGUGUGAACUUGUAACAUUAGAUAACAAAUUACCUGCUUUCAAAAUGCAAGGAGGAAACAGGCAUAGGGUAGACAUUCCCACUGAUACAGGGCCAGUGCCCCAGGCUUCGUCAGCGCCAGCCACCCCGAGGACCUGCCGCCUCCUGCAUCUCGGCCCCAGCGGCGGUGUUGGUGCAGCGGUCAGGAGAGGCAGAGCUGGAAAACCAAGUGCGGCAGAGAGGGCCAGCAGGGCAGAAGCCCGCGGGUCCCUAGUUAGUUGAGGGAGACCAUGGCACAGCCCGUGCGGCUGCGGUGCCAAUCCCAGAACCACCUUUGAGCCUACAAAGCCUUUCUCUGGUUGUGCUACUCCCCUGCGAGCAUUUUACAGGCCUAAGGGUGAUACAGGGUUCCCCCAUUCAGGGGGUGGCCUCAUUUCCUAGGCCUGGGCAAUUUCAUGUAAGUUUCCUAGGCCUGGACAAUUUCAUGACUGGACUGUAUCCAUUCAUAAACGUGUUCAUUCCCGUUGCCCCUAGCCAAAGGGACUGUAUCCAUUCAUGUAUGCUCUCAUUCAUAUCGCCCCAGUGGAAGAGAUUGUAUCCAUUCAUUUGUUACCAAAUCCUGGCCAAAUGGAACUAUAAAGACUCCAUGGCGGGGAUAUAUAUAUAAUCUCCUCCUAGACUAAGA